CCUACGGGUGGCAGCAGUGAGGAAUAUUGGUCAAUGGCCGAGAGGCUGAACCAGCCAAGUCGCGUGAGGGAAGACGGCCCUCCGGGUUGUAAACAUCUUUUGUCGGGGAGCAAAGAGAGUCACGUGUGCCUCAUUGAGAGUACCCGAAGAAAAAGCAUAGGCUAACUCCGUGCCAGCAGCCGCGGUAAUACGCAGGAUGCGAUCGUUAUCCGGAUUUAUUGGGGUUAAAGGGAGCGUAGGUGGAUUGUUAAGUCAGUUGUGAAAGUUUGCGGCUCAACCGUAAAACUGCAGUUGAUCCUGGCAGUCUUGAGUACAGUAGAGGUGGGCGGAAUUCGAGGUGUAGCGGUGAAAUGCUUAGAUAUCACGAAGAACACCGAUUGCGAAGACAGUUCACUGGACUGCAACUGACACUGAGGCGCGAAAGUGUGGGGAGCAAACAGGAUUAGAUACCCGUGUAGUC
rnacentral:rRNA from 1 species